GAGGGUAUAGCUCACGGGUAGAGUGUGUGCUUUCAGCACACAUGAUGAGGUCCUGGGUUCAAUCCCCAGUACCUCCU
rnacentral:tRNA from 1 species